rnacentral:rRNA from 1 species
UACGGAGGGUGCAAGCAUUGAUCGGAAUUACUGGGCGUAAAGGGCGCGUAGGCGGCACUAUAAGUCUGAUGUGAAAUUCCGUGGCUCGACCACGGAGCUGCAUUAGAAACUAUGGAGCUAGAGUACAGUUAGGGAAAACGGAAUUCCACAUGUAGCGGUGAAAUGCGUAGAUAUGUGGAGGAACACCGGUGGUGAAGACGGUUUUCUGGGCUGAAACUGACGCUGAGGCGCGAAAGCAUGGGGAGCAAACAGG